GCCAUCAGGGAGUUACUCCGCUUUCCUGCUUUCCUGAAUAUCUCCCAUGUAUACUGGAGGUAUACAUGCUACGAAGCCACUUUGUUUUUCUCCUGUGAAUCUUCCAUUACAGGGGGUCCUAGCCAAGAACACAGAGGUAUAGAGGGAAAAAUUUUUUCCACUACCACACAGUGUCUCUCAUUGGCAGACUGCAAAACCCAGAGGGCAGGAGAGCCCACUGCUUUGGUCCACUCGGGCAGUGUGGUUGGGACCAGAACAGUGACAAGGCUGAUCUGAAGAACAAAUAGAAGGCAUGAAGCUACAAUAUACACUCCCUGGAUGAUCGCAUGCAUUCCUGUAAUUUUGACUACAACCUAUACACAGAUGACCCCAUACCAUCAACUGCACACCAGUGGCUCCCAAAGCUGAGUGCACCUUAUAAUCACUUGGGAAUUCUUUUUUUUUCUUAUUAAAAAAUAAAAACAAAUAAAACCA